GAUGAACGCUGGCGGCGUGCUUAACACAUGCAAGUCGAACGGAAAGGCCCCAGCUUGCUGGGGUACUCGAGUGGCGAACGGGUGAGUAACACGUGGGUGAUCUGCCCUGCACUUUGGGAUAAGCUUGGGAAACUGGGUCUAAUACCGAAUAUGACCACUUCUUGGAUGUUGUGGUGGAAAGCUUUUGCGGUGUGGGAUGAGCCUGCGGCCUAUCAGCUUGUUGGUGGGGUAAUGGCCUACCAAGGCGGCGACGGGUGUCCGGCCUGAGAGGGGGUACGGACACAUUGGGACUGAGAUACGGCCCAGACUCCUACGGGAGGCAGCAGUGGGGAAUAUUGCACAAUGGGCGCAAGCCUGAUGCAGCGACGCCGCGUGGGGGAUGAAGGCCUUCGGGUUGUAAACUCCUUUCGCUAUCGACGAAGCCACUUGUGGUGACGGUAGGUAGAUAAGAAGCACCGGCUAACUACGUGCCAGCCGCCGCCGUAA
rnacentral:rRNA from 1 species